GGGGCUGAACUGGAUUCGACCUUGACCGGACCGAGAUAGGAGAAGCGAGCCGAGAAUUUCGGGUGGUCUCGAAAAUCUCUCCCGGAAACUUAUAACUGCCGCUGCGUAAAGCACGGUUGCCAUCUCCUAAUUGAUGGCCGUCGGCCCGAAGAUCGCCUGCGUCUUCGGGAUCCGGCGUCGCCUAGCAGGCUCGCCGCCUCGAGCCCGUUCGGUGCUUUGAGGCGGGACUCCAAACCGAUCUAGGAACCGGCCGCUGCUGUUUGCGGGCCGGCCGAGCUCCGAAACCUGACCGCAAACUACGCUCGUAGAAGACCUAUCCAGGGGUCGAGGGACCCGGGUUCGAUUCCCGGCAGCUCCACUA
rnacentral:tmRNA from 1 species